rnacentral:rRNA from 1 species
GACGAACGCUGGCGGCGUGCUUAACACAUGCAAGUCGAACGGAAAGGCCCUGCUUUUGUGGGGUUCUCGAUUGGCGAACGGGUGAGUAACACGUGAGUAACCUGCCCUUGACUUUGGGAUAACUUCAGGAAACUGGGGCUAAUACCGGAUAGGAUCUCCUGCUGCAUGGUGUGGGUUGGAAAGUUUCGGCUGUUGGGGAUGGACUCGCUGCUUAUGAGCUUGUUUGUGGGGUAGUCGCUUACCAAGGUUAUGACGGCUAGCCCGCCUGAGAGGGUGACCGGGCACCAUAGGACUGCGAUACGGACCAGAAUGCUACGGUAGGCAGCAGUGGAGAAUAUGGCGCAGUGGGGCGAAGCGUGAUACAGAGACGCCGGGAGCGGGAUGACGGCCUACGGGUGAUAAACCGCUGUGGCAUGUGACGAAGCGUGAGUGACGGUAAUGGGUCAAGAAGCAACGGCUAACUACGUG